UCCUGACUGACCGAUAGUGAACCAGUACCGUGAGGGAAAGGCGAAAAGAACCCCGGCGAGGGGAGUGAAAAAGAACCUGAAACCGUGUACGUACAAGCAGUGGGAGCCCCACCACUAAGCCAGUGGUGAACUCCACAUACGCAUCCUUUGCUGAGGAUACGGUUAACGGAGCGAAAGCGACGUUCAACCUCAAAAGAAGCAGAGGGGGCUUAGUGGUGGGGUGACUGCGUACCUUUUGUAUAAUGGGUCAGCGACUUAUAUUCUGUAGCAAGGUUAACCGAAUAGGGGAGCCGGAGGGAAACCGAGUCUUAAUUGGGCGUUAAGUUGCAGGGUAUAGACCCGAAACCCGGUGAUCUAGCCAUGGGCAGGUUGAAGGUUGGGUAACACUAACUGGAGGACCGAACCGACUAAUGUUGAAAAAUUAGCGGAUGACCUGUGGCUGGGGGUGAAAGGCCAAUCAAACCGGGAGAUAGCUGGUUCUCCCCGAAAGCUAUUUAGGUAGCGCCUCGUGAAUUCAUCUCCGGGGGUAGAGCACUGUUUCGGCUAGGGGGUCAUCCCGACUUACCAACCCGAUGCAAACUGCGAAUACCGGAGAAUGUUAUCACGGGAGACACACGGCGGGUGCUAACGUCCGUCGUGAAGAGGGAAACAACCCAGACCGCCAGCUAAGGUCCCAAAGUCAUGGUUAAGUGGGAAACGAUGUGGGAAGGCCCAGACAGCCAGGAUGUUGGCUUAGAAGCAGCCAUCAUUUAAAGAAAGCGUAAUAGCUCACUGGUCGAGUCGGCCUGCGCGGAAGAUGUAACGGGGCUAAACCAUGCACCGAAGCUGCGGCAGCGACACUGUGUGUUGUUGGGUAGGGGAGCGUUCUGUAAGCCGUUGAAGGUGUGUCGUGAGGCAUGCUGGAGGUAUCAGAAGUGCGAAUGCUGACAUAAGUAACGAUAAUGCGGGUGAAAAACCCGCACGCCGGAAGACCAAGGGUUCCUGUCCAACGUUAAUCGGGGCAGGGUGAGUCGACCCCUAAGGCGAGGCCGAAAGGCGUAGUCGAUGGGAAACGGGUUAAUAUUCCCGUACUUGGUGUUACUGCGAAGGGGGGACGGAGAAGGCUAUGUUGGCCGGGCGACGGUUGUCCCGGUUUAAGCGUGUAGGUGUGUGUUCCAGGUAAAUCCGGUUCACUUUAACACUGAGGCGUGAUGACGAGGCACUACGGUACUGAAGCAA
rnacentral:rRNA from 1 species